CCACUACUGCGUGGGUUUCCUCCGGGUGCUCUGGUUUCCUUCCACAUUCCAAAGACAUACGGGUUAGGAAGUUGUGGGCAUGCUAUGUUGGCGCCUGAAGCAUGGCGAUACUUGUGGGCUACCCCCAGAACAUUCUACACAAAGGGCAAAAAUAGCUAAUACGAGGGGAUGUAAUUUUAAGGUGAUUGGAGGAAGAUAUGAAGGAGAUGUCAGAGGUCAUCUGAUGUGUUAACGCCCAGGAAUUUAAAGCUGCUGACCCUCUCCGCCGCAGAUACAACAACGUAGGCUGGCACAUGUUUCAUCCUCCUUCUCCUUCCUAAAGUUUGGAAGUUCC